ensembl:lncRNA
CACACACACACACACACACACACACACACACACACACACACACACACACCGGAUAAACCCACAACCACACACACACACCCUCACUCACUGAGAGAGAGGGAGAGAGGGAGAGAGAGAGAGGAGCUUCCCCAUCUCCAUCGCCCACGCCACUCUGCCGUGUCGUGUCUUGUUUGUCUUCCUGGUUGCUGAGGAUUUCUUCUCUUUCAAGAACAAUCGCUCCUAAAAGCCUGAGCCUCCGGGGGGACGGGUGCCACGGCAACGCAGCCGGGGAGAAACUCAAACACGCAGAGAUGGAGCCAGCUGAAACCAGUCUCACCCUCGCUCAUUGUAGCUCUCUCUAUCCCCACAGAUCUCGCUCUAUCUCUCCUGUUAUGUAUCCGUCUCAUCCUCUCUCUCUCUCUCUAUCUCUCGCUCCUUAUCUCUCUCUUCAUGUCUUUAUCAAUCUCGUCCUCUUUUCAUUUAUCUCCACCUCCUUGUUUCUCCUUUUUUAUGUUCCCCAAUCUUGUAACCUUGUAAUCUCUCUGUCUAUGUCUCUCUCUCUAUCUGUCUCUGUCACUCUCUCUCUCUCUCUCUCUCUCUCUCUCUCUCUCUCUCUCUCUCUCUCUCUCUCUCUCUCUCUCUCUCUCUCUCUCUCUCUCUCUCUCUCCCUCUCUCUGUGUCUCUCUCUCUUUCUGUAUCUUUCUUUCUCUCUCUCCGUCUCUGUCUCUUUCUGUGUGGGUGUAUGUGUGUGUCUCUCUCUCUCUCUCUUUCUCUCUCUCCAUCUGUGUCUUUCAUUCUCCCUCUCUCACUACCUUCGUCUUCGUGUCUCUCUCACCCUCUCGCCCUUUUUCCGUCUUUUUACAUGUCAGCUGAUUAUGUGUUGGUGGUACUUUCGUCACUGUGUGCACAUGCAUGUGCAUGCACGCUUGUGCGUGUGUGUGUGUGUGUGUGUGUGUGUGUGUGUGUGUGUGUGUGUGUGUGUGUGUGUGUGUGUGUGUGUGUGUGUGUGUGUGUGUGUGCGUGCGUGCGUGCGUGCGUGCGUAUGUGUGUGUCAUGCGCAGCUGCUAGCUCUCUCGUUAGCGUGUUGAGUUAGUGGCGCUUGCGGUCGCGUGGAGCGUCUCUGGCUGCUCUCUGAUUCAUCAACAACAUCUGUCUCUGGCAGGUGUGUGAGACCUACAGGGUCGUCUCACACAGACACGCGCACACACACACACAAGCACACGCACGCACACACAUUACAAUACUGCCUUCAUAAUGGCCAGCUUGGGCACACAUAAGUUGUAUAUGUGCUAAAUAUGUGUGUGUGUGUGUGUGUGUGUGUGUGUGUGUGUGUGCUUGUAUGCGUGUGUGUUUGUUUGUGUGUGCGUGUGUGUGUGUGUGCGUUUGUGUAUGCACACGUGUAUGUGUGUGUCUCUUGCACAAUUGUUCCUCUUGCGUAGUUUAUCUUUGCAUUCCCCCACCGACUGUGAAGCAAGGCGUUACAUAUGCAGCGUAUUCUAAUGAUACUGACCGGGCGAGAGAGAGAGAGAGAGAGAGAGAGAGGGAGAGAGGGAGGGAGGGAGGGAGAGAGAGAGAGA